rnacentral:rRNA from 1 species
GACGAACUCUGGCGGCGCGCCUAACACAUGCAAGUCGAACGAGCGAGAGAGAGCUUGCUUUCUCAAGCGAGUGGCGAACGGGUGAGUAACGCGUGAGGAACCUGCCUCAAAGAGGGGGACAACAGUUGGAAACGACUGCUAAUACCGCAUAAGCCCACGGGUCGGCAUCGACCAGAGGGAAAAGGAGCAAUCCGCUUUGAGAUGGCCUCGCGUCCGAUUAGCUAGUUGGUGAGGUAACGGCCCACCAAGGCAACGAUCGGUAGCCGGACUGAGAGGUUGAACGGCCACAUUGGGACUGAGACACGGCCCAGACUCCUACGGGAGGCAGCAGUGGGGAAUAUUGCACAAUGGGGGAAACCCUGAUGCAGCGACGCCGCGUGGAGGAAGAAGGUCUUCGGAUUGUAAACUCCUGUUGUUGAGGAAGAUAAUGACGGUACUCAACAAGGAAGUGACGGCUAACUACGUGCCAGCAGCCGCGGUAAAACGUAGGUCACAAGCGUUGUCCGGAAUUACUGGGUGUAAAGGGAGCGCAGGCGGGAAGACAAGUUGGAAGUGAAAUCCAUGGGCUCAACCCAUGAACUGCUUUCAAAACUGUUUUUCUUGAGUAGUGCAGAGGUAGGCGGAAUUCCCGGUGUAGCGGUGGAAUGCGUAGAUAUCGGGAGGAACACCAGUGGCGAAGGCGGCCUACUGGGCACCAACUGACGCUGAGGCUCGAAAGUGUGGGUAGCAAACAGGAUUAGAUACCCUGGUAGUCCACACCGUAAAACGGAUGAUUUACUAGGGGUGUUGGAGGAUUGACCCCUUCAUGCCCGCAGUUAGCACAAUAAGUAAUCCACCGGGGGAGUACGACCGCAAGGUGAAAAUUCAAAGGAAUUGACGGGGGCCCGCACAAGCAGUGGAGUAUGUGGUUUAAUUCGACGCAACGCGAAGAACCUUACCAAGUCUUGACAUCCCUUGACGAUGCUGGAAACAGUAUUUCUCUUCGGAGCAAGGAGACAGGUGGUGCAUGGUUGUCGUCAGCUCGUGUCGUGAGAUGUUGGGUUAAGUCCCGCAACGAGCGCAACCCUUAUGGUCAGUUACUACGCAAGAGGACUCUGGCCAGACUGCCGUUGACAAAACGGAGGAAGGUGGGGAUGACGUCAAACCAUCAUGCCCUUUAUGACUUGGGCUACACACGUACUACAAUGGCGUUAAACAAAGAGAAGCAAGACCGCGAGGUGGAGCAAAACUCAGAAACAACGUCCCAGUUCGGACUGCAGGCUGCAACUCGCCUGCACGAAGUCGGAAUUGCUAGUAAUCGCAGAUCAGCAUGCUGCGGUGAAUACGUUCCCGGGCCUUGCAC